AUCCAGAAGACGAGUCCGAAACAGGACGAAAUGCGCGUUAUCCUGGAU
rnacentral:hammerhead_ribozyme from 1 species